CCUGCCUUUAAGACGAGGAUAACAACCGGAAGGUUACUAAGACUGGAUAGGAAACAAAAAGGCAUCUUUUUGUUUUUAAAAGACCUUCUUACGAAGGUAUGCUUAAAGAGGGGCUUGCGCCACAUUAGUUAGUUGGUAGAGUAAAAGCCUACCAAGACGAUGAUGUGUAGCUGGACUGAGAGGUUGAACAGCCACAUUGGGACUGAGACACGGCCCAAACUCCUACGGGAGGCAGCAGUAGGGAAUUUUCGGCAAUGGAGGAAACUCUGACCGAGCAACGCCGCGUGAACGAUGAAGUAUUUCGGUAUGUAAAGUUCUUUUAUUGAAGAAGAAAAAGUAGUGGAAAAACUAUAUUGACGUUAUUCAAUGAAUAAGCCCCGGCUAACUAUGUGCCAGCAGCCGCGGUAAGACAUAGGGGGCGAGCGUUAUCCGGAAUUAUUGGGCGUAAAGGGUGCGUAGGCUGUUAGAUAAGUCUAUAAUUUAAUUUCAGUGCUUAACGCUGUCUUGUUAUAGAAACUGUCUUGACUAGAGUGAGAUAGAGGCAAGCGGAAUUCCAUGUGUAGCGGUAAAAUGUGUAAAUAUAUGGAGGAACACCAGAAGCGUAGGCGGCUUGCUGGGUCUUUACUGACGCUGAGGCACGAAAGCGUGGGUAGCAAACAGGAUUAGAUACCCUGGUACUCCAUAGUCGUAAACGAUGAGUACUAAGUGUCGGGGUGAAGACGUCGGUACUGACGUUAGCCCAUUAAGUACUCCGCCUGAGUAGUACGUACGCAAGUAUGAAACUUAAAGGAAUUGACGGGGGCUCCGCACAAGCGGUGGAUCAUGUUGUUUAAUUCGAAGAUACACGAAAAAUCCUGACGAAGACUUGACAUACUCUGCAAAGCUAUAGAAAUAUAGUGGAGGUUAUCAGGGAUACACAGGUGGCACAUGGCUGUUGUCAGCUCGUGUCGUGAGAUUAGGGGAAAAGUCCCGCAACGAGCGCAACCCCUGUCCAAUGUCCCCAGCAUAUGAUUGGGGGGACUCACGGGAGACCCAAUUAGACAAAUCGGAGGAAGGUGGGGAUGAUGUCAAGUCAUCAUGCCCCUUAUGUUUGGGGCUACAAACGUGAUACAAUGGCUGUGACAAAGAGUAGCUGAAACGCGAGUUUUUAGCCAAUCUCAAAAAAGCAGUCUCAGUUCGGAUUGAAGUCUGUAACUCGACUUCAUGAAGUUGGAAUCGCUAGUAAUCGCGGAUCAGCAACGCCGCGGUGAAUACGUUCCCGGGCCUUGCACACACCGCCCGUCACACCACGAAAGUUAGCAAUGCCCGAAAGCAGUAGCUUAACUUCGCAAGAAGAGGGAACUGUCUAAGG
rnacentral:rRNA from 1 species